rnacentral:tRNA from 1 species
GGAGAGCUGACCGAGUGGCCGAAGGUGCUCGCCUGCUAAGCGAGUGUAGGGGUAAUUUGGCCCUUACCGGGGGUUCGAAUCCCCCGCUCUCCGCCA